UUUCCCCUGCCCUACGACUCGCUCUCUCUCACUUCCUCACCGCAUCCAUAUGACCUUUGUCGUUCCGCAAGUGCGCACGCGACGCCAUCCGAUCAUCGCCGUCACCCGUAGCUGCCUCCGCCGCAAUCCUCUUUGGCCGUUAUUUUUGGUUCACUAUCGACGGCAUCCUGCCAUCAUCUUCACCAUUUUUGAGAAGGUUCCGGCGAUUGAUCUCGUGCAAUUUUCGAUUGGAUAGCUUCUUAACUUAGAAGCCGCUUUUGAGGUACCGAGACCGAUUUGCUGGGCGGGGCUGAGACCGAGUGAACGUUAGACGUAGCUAGUUUUAAUUUUUAGUCCUUUUAGUUUUAUGCCUAACAUAUUUAGAUGUGAAUAUUCUUUUGAACUUCGUAAAUGAUCGUUUGUUAUCUUUUAUUUCGUUAUUUUUUUGUACUUACCUUGGUUAAUUAUGAUAUU